ensembl:lncRNA
AGAUGGUUAAACACAGAAUAGAAAGGUUAACUGCCUUGCCCACGGCUGCUCACUAAGUUACCUGCUCUGUUGGGAGUGAGAACCCAGACCUGAAUCAUCAGUCCUGUAAGCAGAAAAAUCUCUCCCUUCAUACACCACAGAAACAGAACACUCCCAUACCAAACACAACCCUCAAGAGAUCAACGUCAUCUUUCAGGGAUUCAGCUGAGAAGCAACACUGCCAAGCUCUGGUGCAGUGUUCUGUAGGAGGUUCUACAGUUUUUGCUUUAAAAAGGAUUAUUUUUUGAAGCUGUGGGCAGUACACCUUCGUUCAGAUCUGCUUCAGAAUUAUAGCACUGCUGGAAACAUAAUUUACAAUUAGAUUUUGAAAAUUCCCAACCUCCAGUUACUCAGUGGUUAAGAAACAAUAUGGAAUAUUUGUAUACAUUGCUCCUCUGUCACUUUCUACACAAAGCCUUAUCUGAAGCUAGUUAAUACAACAACAUUUAGGACUUGCUAUGGGAAGAAAGCAGUGAAAGCACUCAUAGAGCAACAUACUCUUGUUCUACCAUGUGAAGAUACAGAAGUUCUGAUUUCAUGCUGCUGUUCCACACCUCCAAUGUCAGCAUAUAGGCUUUAACAUCACCGUGUUGAAAUUAAGGCAAAUACUCAACAAAUUACUCAGUUUAUGGUCACCUCCAAAAAUAUUACUCCAUCAUCUAAUGAUCUCUCAUUCUUCUCCUUAGUGAUAUUUCUCUGGUUAACCUUUUAUAAAACCAGUAGGUGCCAUGUUUAUAUUUGGAGCCUGGGGAAGUGGUGGUAGGGUGGUGAUGCACUGAACAGGUUGCCCAAGGAGGCUGUGGAUGCCCCAUCCCUGGAGGCAUUCAAGGCCAGGCUGGAUGUGGCUCUGGGCAGCCUGGGCUGC